UGACCGAAACGCACAACGGCGUGCGGCCCGGCUGUUAACCGGUGUGAGUCAGGUUCGAUCCCUGAUCGGUCAGCCA
rnacentral:tRNA from 1 species